rnacentral:misc_RNA from 1 species
AAGUCGUAACAAGGUUUCCGUAGGUGAACCUGCGGAAGGAUCAUUAACGUUGGGGACUAACCAUCCCUCAGCGAGAUAGAACCCUUGCCUUUCAAGUACCACACGUUUCCUCGGCAGGUCCGCCUGCCAAUGGGGACCACAACAAAACCUUUUGUAAUAGCAGUAAACGUCUAAAAAACAAAAAUUUAAAACUUUCAACAACGGAUCUCUUGGUUCUG